ACGGGGGGUGCAAGCGUUGUUCGGAAUUAUUGGGCGUAAAGAGCGUGUAGGCGGCUGAAUAAGUCAGAUGUGAAAUCCCUGGGCUUAACCAAGGAAGUGCAUUUGAAACUAUUCAGCUUGAGUAGGGGAGAGGAAAGUGGAAUCCCUGGUGUAGAGGUGUAAUUCGUAGAUAUCAGGAGGAACACCGGUGGCGAAGGCGACUUUCUGGCCCUCUACUGGCUCUGAGACGCGAGAGCGUUGGUAGCAAACAG
rnacentral:rRNA from 1 species